UACGUAGGGUGCAAGCGUUAAUCGGAAUUACUGGGCGUAAAGCGUGCGCAGGCGGUUAUGUAAGACAGAUGUGAAAUCCCCGGGCUCAACCUGGGAACUGCAUUUGUGACUGCAUAGCUAGAGUACGGUAGAGGGGGAUGGAAUUCCGCGUGUAGCAGUGAAAUGCGUAGAUAUGCGGAGGAACACCGAUGGCGAAGGCAAUCCCCUGGACCUGUACUGACGCUCAUGCACGAAAGCUGGGGGAGCAAACAGG
rnacentral:rRNA from 1 species